rnacentral:rRNA from 1 species
AUACGGAGGAUCCAAGCGUUAUCCGGAUUUAUUGGGUUUAAAGGGUGCGUAGGCUGUGCGUUAAGUCAGGGGUGAAAUGCCGUCGCUCAACGACGGAGCUGCCCUUGAUACUGGCGUGCUGGAGUACGGAUGCCGUUGGAGGAAUGAGUGGUGUAGCGGUGAAAUGCUUAGAUAUCACUCAGAACACCGAUUGCGAAGGCAUCUGACGAAUCCGUCACGGACGCUGAGGCACGAAAGCGUGGGGAUAGAACAGGAUUAGAUACCCUGGUAUUCCACGCCGUAAACGAUGAUGACUAACCGUCGGCGAUAGACAGCCGGUGGCCAAGCGAAAGCGAUAAGUCAUCCACCUGGGGAGUACGUCGGCAACGAUGAAACUCAAAGGAAUUGACGGGG